GUCCCUACGGGGCGCAGCAGUGGGGAAUAUUGGGCAAUGGAGGAAACUCUUACCCAGCAAUGCCGCGUGAAUGAAGAAGGUCUUCGGAUUGUAAAGUUCUUUAAUUGGGGACGAAAAAAAUGACGGUACCCAAGGAAUAAGCCCCGGCUAACUACGUGCCAGCAGCCGCGGUAAUACGUAGGGGGCUAGCGUUAUCCGGAAUUACUGGGCGUAAAGGGUGCGUAGGUGGUUUCUUAAGUCAGAGGUGAAAGGCUACGGCUCAACCGUAGUAAGCCUUUGAAACUGGGGAACUUGAGUGCAGGAGG
rnacentral:rRNA from 1 species